rnacentral:rRNA from 1 species
UACAGAGGGUGCUAGCGUUGUUCGGAAUUAUUGGGCGUAAAGCGCGUGUAGGCGGUCUCGCAAGUUGGGUGUGAAAGCCCUCGGCUUAACCGAGGAAGUGCGCCCAAAACUACGAGACUUGAGUAUCGGAGAGGGUGGCGGAAUUCCCGGUGUAGAGGUGAAAUUCGUAGAUAUCGGGAGGAACACCAGUGGCGAAGGCGGCCACCUGGCCGAAUACUGACGCUGAGACGCGAAAGCGUGGGUAGCAAACAGG